GGUAACAAAUUUAAUUAUUAUAUCGUAAUAUUAAUUAUUUUAAAUCAAAUAAUAACAUUUCUGAGCAAUAUUAUAACUAAAUAAUGCAAAGUAACAUCGAACACUGUUUUAAAAAUAUUGCAAACGACGUGUUUGAAAAUUUACAAAAGCCCGCCGAGUAACAGCCAAUCAGAAAGCUCGAUCAUCUUACUUAGUAAUUUCGGAUCGUGAGGUUUCGGUUAGUUUGAAUGGCGAAGAACGAUAAUGCAUUAGUUUUUUGUGUUAAAAUUUAGAAAAAAGUGUGAUUAAAAACUGAAAUAAAAGUGAAAUCAAAAGUGCGUGACUUCUAACUUGGACAGUGCAUCUUUGGCAAAAACAUUCAUCGUAAGUUUGACAACUGCAACAGAGUUGACGCGCACGUAUGCAAUCCUACUUAAAAAAAAGGAAAAAGAAAAACAAUCAAACGUACGUAUCAAAGAA
rnacentral:lncRNA from 1 species